rnacentral:lncRNA from 1 species
CCAACGUGUAAGUUUUCAUUGUUUAAGUCGAAAUUUUUUAACACAGUAAAACAUUUUUUAUAAUCAUCCUCUGUCAUUGGCAUUUUCAUUUUAACGGUUGUGGCACGGUUUGAAAUGUUGAAGACAAAAUUGCUCUAUAUCUUAAGUUAUUGACGAAUAUUUGAAAUGUAAACCUCUAUAAGAUGUGAUGUACGGCAUUUCAUUUUAUCAUUGGUAAUGAUCCAUAUCUGACAGAGAAGAAAUAUUCAUAAUUCUCAGAAAGUUUUCAUAAAUAU